UAAACGCUGGCGGCGUGCUUAACACAUGCAAGUCGAACGAACCUUCGGGUUAGUGGCGGACGGGUGAGUAACGCGUGGGAAUCUGCCCUCAGGAGGGGGAUAACGGCUGGAAACGGCCGCUAAUACCCCAUAUGCCGAGAGGUGAAAUGAAUUUCGCCUGAGGAUGAGCCCGCGUCUGAUUAGCUAGUUGGUGGGGUAAAGGCCCACCAAGGCGACGAUCAGUAGCUGGUCUGAGAGGAUGAUCAGCCACACUGGGACUGAGACACGGCCCAGACUCCUACGGGAGGCAGCAGUGGGGAAUUUUCCGCAAUGGGCGAAAGCCUGACGGAGCAACGCCGCGUGAGGGAUGAAGGCCUCUGGGCUGUAAACCUCUUUUCUCAAGGAAGAAGAUCUGACGGUACUUGAGGAAUAAGCCACGGCUAAUUCCGUGCCAGCAGCCGCGGUAAUCUGAUGGCGCGAGG
rnacentral:rRNA from 1 species